rnacentral:rRNA from 1 species
GACGAACGCUGGCGGCGUGCCUAAUACAUGCAAGUAGAACGCUGAAGGAGGAGCUUGCUCUUCUGGAUGAGUUGCGAACGGGUGAGUAACGCGUAGGUAACCUGCCUGGUAGCGGGGGAUAACUAUUGGAAACGAUAGCAAAUACCGCAUAACAGAAGAUGUUGCAUGACAUUUGCUUAAAAGGUGCAAUUGAACAACUACCAGAUGGACCUGCGUUGUAUUAGCUAGUUGGUGGGGUAACGGCUCACCAAGGCGACGAUACAUAGCCGACCGGAGAGGGUGCUCGGCCACACUGGGACUGAGACACGGCCCAGACUCCUACGGGAGGCAGCAGUAGGGAAUCUUCGGCAAUGGACGGAAGUCUGACCGAGCAACGCCGCGUGAGUGAAGAAGGUUUUCGGAUCGUAAAGCUCUGUUGUAAGAGAAGAACGAGUGUGAGAGUGGAAAGUUCACACUGUGACGGUAUCUUACCAGAAAGGGACGGCUAACUACGUG